rnacentral:rRNA from 1 species
GACGAACGCUGGCGGCGUGCUUAACACAUGCAAGUCGAACGAGGUCCACCGCGUAGCAAUACAAGGGAAGACCUAGUGGCGAACGGGUGCGUAACACGUGAGGAACUUGUCCCGGUCUCUGGGAUAACAGUUGGAAACGACUGCUAAUACCGGAUGACGUCGGAAUCUCGCAUGGGAUACUGACGAAAGGGUUACUGGAUCGGGAGAGCCUCGCGGCCUAUCAGCUUGUUGGUGAGGUAACGGCUCACCAAGGCAUCGACGGGUAGCUGGUCUGAGAGGAUGAUCAGCCACACUGGGACUGAGACACGGCCCAGACUCCUACGGGAGGCAGCAGUGGGGAAUCUUGCGCAAUGGGCGAAAGCCUGACGCAGCAACGCCGCGUGCGGGAAGAAGGCCCUCGGGUUGUAAACCGCUUUCAGCAGGAACGAAAUGACGGUACUUGCAGAAGAAGGUGCGGCCAACUACGUGCCAGCAGCCGCGGUAAAGUCUGUACUCC